GAUGAACGCUGGCGGCGUGCUUAACACAUGCAAGUCGAGCGGGAAACCUUUUAAUGCAGCUUCGGCAGAUUUAGCUGGUUUCUAGUGGCGGACGGGUGAGUAACGCGUGGGUAACCUGCCUUAUACAGGGGGAUAACAGUCAGAAAUGACUGCUAAUACCGCAUAAGCGCACAGGACCGCAUGGUCCGGUGUGAAAAACUCCGGUGGUAUAAGAUGGACCCGCGUUGGAUUAGCUUGUUGGUGGGGUAACGGCUCACCAAGGCGACGAUCCAUAGCCGGCCUGAGAGGGUGAACGGCCACAUUGGGACUGAGACACGGCCCAGACUCCUACGGGAGGCAGCAGUGGGGAAUAUUGCACAAUGGGGGAAACCCUGAUGCAGCGACGCCGCGUGAAGGAAGAAGUAUCUCGGUAUGUAAACUUCUAUCAGCAGGGAAGAUAGUGACGGUACCUGACUAAGAAGCCCCGGCUAACUACGUG
rnacentral:rRNA from 1 species